CAGGGGCCCAGAGAAAACUACAGUCCGACAUUGUCUUUGCAUAUGUACACACCGACCCAGCAUUAACUUGUUGUUACUGCCGAAUAACAAUCUUACUGUAUUUACGUUUAUCCUUAGCCAGCAGUUUUAAAUAGCAUUCAACAUCGCCCGCUCUGGCCACAGGAAUACAUUAGACUAUGGUCGCUGGUGUCGCUAACUUCACGUUUCUCAAAAUGGAGCUGCCAAUAAAGAGUUGGUUUCUCAGCGGGUGUGUCGCUGAGUAGGGAGAACUUGUUAGAAACGUGAACAGAAUCUGUGCAGCAAAAUGCAACUACUGCAAGUGCGUCUGAAGAAGAGACUGAAUUUCUUUAAAGGUGGCUGCAGCUUGCAUCUGACGGAGAUGGAGGAAGAAGAGAGGGCGACUCGAGACAAGCAAAUUCUUAGUAAGGGUACACCCAAGGUUCACACAGGCUUGCUUGAGGAGGGUGCCACAGGAUUGGCUCAUGGCCACUUUCUGCAAAUAGUGCCCAGCUUAAUACUGAUGGUAGUUCAUGCACAGUAUGUAUGUUAUAUGCGAAUUACUUGUUAGUUUGUUCAAAUAAAUUCUUCUAACAGAUA